rnacentral:rRNA from 1 species
UACGGAGGGUGCAAGCAUUAAUCGGAUUUAUUGGGCGUAAAGGGCGCGUAGGCGGGGAAGUAAGUCAGAUGUGAAAUCCCAAGGCUCAACCUCGGAACUGCCUCCAAAACUGGGAGUCUUGAGGUAUGGAGAGGGAAGUGGAAUUCCAGGUGUAGCGGUGAUAUGCGUAGAUAUCUGGAGGAACACCCGUGGCGAAGGCGGCUUCCUGGUCAUAUCCUGACGCUGAGGUGCGAAAGCCAGGGGAGCGAACGGG